GCUCUUCUAGUAUAACAAUUACAAUUGACUUCCAAUCUCUAGAUUCUGGUACAAUUCCAGAGAAGAGCA
rnacentral:tRNA from 1 species